rnacentral:rRNA from 1 species
UACGGAGGUGGCGAGCGUUGUCCGAAGUUACUGGGCGUAAAGCGCGCGUAGGCGGGCUGUUAAGUCGGAAGUGAAAGGCUGGGGCUCAACCCCAGCAGUGCUUCCGAUACUGGCAGUCUUGAGGGCGGUAGGGAGAAGUGGAAUGGCUGGUGUAACGGUGAAAUGUGUAGAUAUCAGUCGGAACACCGGUAGCGAAGGCGGCUUCUUGGGCCGUUCCUGACGCUGAGGCGCGAAAGCCAGGGGAGCAAACGGG